CCUACGGGAGGCAGCAGUGGGGAAUUUUGGACAAUGGGCGCAAGCCUGAUCCAGCAAUGCCGCGUGAGUGAAGAAGGCCUUCGGGUUGUAAAGCUCUUUUGUCAGGGAAGAAACGGUGGAGGUUAAUACCUUCUGCUAAUGACGGUACCUGAAGAAUAAGCACCGGCUAACUACGUGCCAGCAGCCGCGGUAAUACGUAGGGUGCAAGCGUUAAUCGGAAUUACUGGGCGUAAAGCGUGCGCAGGCGGUUGUGCAAGACAGAUGUGAAAUCCCCGGGCUCAACCUGGGAAUUGCAUUUGUGACUGUACGGCUAGAGUGUGUCAGAGGGGGGUAGAAUUCCACGUGUAGCAGUGAAAUGCGUAGAGAUGUGGAGGAAUACCGAUGGCGAAGGCAGCCCCCUGGGAUAACACUGACGCUCAUGCACGAAAGCGUAGGGGAGCAAACAGGAUUAGGAUACCCUGGUAGUCCACGCCCUAAACGAUGUCUACUAGUUGUCGGGUCUUAUUGACUUGGUAACGCAGCUAACGCGUGAAGUAGACCGCCUGGGGAGUACGGUCGCAAGNUUAAAACCGCAAGUGAAGUUGACGNGNGAGAGNGCGAGACGACGACGAGGGAGAGG
rnacentral:rRNA from 1 species